AAAAAGAAAAUUAAAGUUUUGACAAUAAUUGAAGGAAACAGAAACAGAAUUGUUUGUUUGUUUGUUUGUUGUUCCUUGUGUUUUUUCUUGUUUCAUCUCAUUUUUUUUUCUCUCUUUCUUUU
rnacentral:ribozyme from 13 species